UAUAAAACGAACCUUAAAAUUACGCUCAAGAUCGACUCGUUUAUGAAUCGAACCGAGUUCGAACCGAGCUUUUUUCGAACCGAACACCGAGCGGUUAUCGAGCGUAUCAACUCAUUUAUAGCCCAGCUCGUAAAACCAGACCUUGCUAAUUACUCCCUCCGUCUCAUUUUAGUUGUCACAUUUCUAUUUUUGUGGGUCAAAUUAACUAACUUUUGACCAAAGAUUAUAAGUCACUCUUUCAUUAUUUUAAAAAACUGAAAAUUACAUCUUAAUGUAGAUUAAAAGUUAUUUCCGGUAACAUAUUUUUUUUAUUUUUUCAAUUGAUAAAAUAUUUAUAAAUUUCAGUCAAACUUUGGUCAAUUUGACCGGCACAAAACCAAGAGUGACAACAAAAUGGGACGGAGGGAGUAAUAUAGACAAAAAUCCUUGUGUCUCCUACUAAAAAGAAACCUCACCCAGAAUGCAAGUCAUCAAAAUUCAAAUACAAGAUGCACAAACAAGAAAGCCAGAUUCUGCAAUAACUGACAGAACAACUCUCUGGUGUCAUAAAGUGCAACUAAUCAGUAACCACUCCUAUAAAAUUUAAUAGCAAAUACUUCACAAGUAGUUGCUGUUUUUCCAGGUAGAAAUAAUUUUGAUUGAAUUCAUAUCAUGAUGCAUAAGGCUUAAUAUUCGAAGUCAAAAGAUAAAAGUACUUGCUGUAUAAUAAUGGUUUUAACAGCUCUGAACCCCUCAAAAACCUAGACUCCCAAAAAUUACCAACACAAAAUAAUGAUCAGGGGUGGUAAAUACGGUAGUUAUGUAAAGGUAUACCUAUAUCCAUCUUAAAGGAGAUGAACAGAAUAUAAAAAGAAAAUGAAGCAAGCGUCAUCCCCAUAGGUCUCAUCCACGAGC